AGCAGUGCAGAGACGAGAGUGGCGUGACGAGCCCAAGCUGCAGUCGGCAUAUUUAUCGUCCGAGGCUGACCAUCCGGCGAGAUGCCUUUCAGAUCAUGUUUUAAAACCUUCCACGUCUGGCGUUGGGAACGCAGCCGCGGCUUGGUGGUGGAUAGCAAGAGGCAAAGUCUCCAGAUGACCUUGAGAACAGUUGAUCAUUUUCAUGGGACCUGGAGGUGAUAAGGUAUCAGAUGGUAAGCUUGAAGGAAGAAUAGUCUGCAAUGUGUGGCUAAUCCCUAAGCAUGAAAGUUAUCAUUAGACGAUGGGAAAACACUUGAUUGUCCUUCUCUUCUAUUCACAGAACUAACCUUCUAACUAACCUUGCAUGAACACAACUGACCAUGUGCUUUGUGCAAAUUU